rnacentral:tRNA from 1 species
GCACGGGUGGCUCAGUCGGUUGAGCAUCUGACUUCAACUCAGGCCAUGAUCUCACUGCUUGUGAGUUUGAGCCCCCUGCA